rnacentral:rRNA from 1 species
GUCACGCUGUAAACGAUGUCGAUUUGGAGUUUGUUGCCUAGAGUGAUGGGCUCCGAAGCUAACGCGAUAAAUCGACCGCCUGGGGAGUACGGCCGCAAGGUUAAAACUCAAAUGAAUUGACGGGGGCCCGCACAAGCGGUGGAGCAUGUGGUUUAAUUCGAUGCAACGCGAAGAACCUUACCUGGUCUUGACAUCCAUAGAAUUCUGCAGAGAUGUGGGAGUGCCUUCGGGAACUAUGAGACAGGUGCUGCAUGGCUGUCGUCAGCUCGUGUUGUGAAAUGUUGGGUUAAGUCCCGCAACGAGCGCAACCCUUAUUCUUUGUUGCCAGCGAUUUGGUCGGGAACUCAAAGGAGACUGCCGUUGAUAAAGCGGAGGAAGGUGGGGACGACGUCAAGUCAUCAUGGCCCUUACGACCAGGGCUACACACGUGCUACAAUGGCGUAUACAAAGGGAAGCGAAGGUGCGAGCUGGAGCGGAUCUCAUAAAGUACGUCUAAGUUCGGAUUGGAGUCUGCAACUCGACUCCAUGAAGUCGGAGUCGCUAGUAAUCGUAGAUCAGAAUGCUACGGUGAAUACGUUCCCGGGCCUUGUACACACCGCCCGUCACACCAUGGGAGUGGGUUGCACCAGAAGUAGAUAGCUUAACCGCGAGGGGGGCGUUUACCACGGUGUGAUUCAUGACUGGGGUGAAGUCGUAACAAGGUAACCA